AGCUCCAAUAGCAUAUACCAAUUCUGCUGCUGUUAAAAAGCUCGUAGUUGGAUCUAUUCCGAGGGUCCGGUCUGCCUGACGGGCAUGUACUGGAUUCCGAGGAUUUAUAUGUGCUGGUUCUUCCCUUGGUGCUCUUAACCGAGUGCCUCGGGUGGCUAGCAGGUUUACUUUGAAAAAAUUAGAGUGCUCAAAACAGGCGUUACCGCCCGAAUAGUGGUGCAUGGAAUAAUGGAAUAGGAUCUCGGUUCUAUUUUGUUGGUUUUAGGAGCGCGAGAUAAUGAUUAAGAGGGACAGACGGGGGCAUUCGUAUUGCGGCGUUAGAGGUGAAAUUCUUGGAUCGCCGCAAGACGAACAACUGCGAAAGCAUUUGCCAAGAAUGUUUUCA
rnacentral:rRNA from 1 species